GAUUGUAAAUCCCUUGAGAACUGAGUUUGACCUCUGCAACUUAUGAAUACACUUAUCAUACGCUGCAGGAUUCUAAGAUGACCUCCAGGAUCCCUACUUGCUGUACAAUCCUCAGGACUGUGAAGAUGAUGGAUUUUACUGCUGUGAUUAAGUUAUAUGGCGCAUUCGACUUGAAGAAAGGGAGAUUAUUCUGGGAAUAUGUAGCAGUACAAAGUGCUAACGUCGUGUGGAUUUGAACCCCCAUCCUCGAGAGCAAAAGAAGGCUGGGGAUUGCCAAAUGUCAACUGAGCUGUGUCAGCCAUGGGACCCCAAGUCUCCAGCCAUGUCCAGUUCUCUGCAGACACUGAAUGCAUGUGCCAAGGCAAGCUGUCCA